CUGGUGGCGGAAUUGGUAGACGCGUCAGACUUAAAAUCUGGUGAUCGCAAGAUCGUGGGGGUUCGAGUCCCCCCCUGCCC
rnacentral:tRNA from 1 species